rnacentral:rRNA from 1 species
AUGUGUUUUUUAUUUGUUCUUUCUAAUUACCUAGGUAGCGGCGUGCAGCAGCAUCGCCUCCACAGUGAACCCCGGUCCAAAUCCCAUCAUCACCCCCCAGCCUUCAUCAUGGCCAGCUCCCUCUCCUUGAGGAUCUUCUCUUUGGCGCCUGACCUCAUCGAGCACGAAGAUCACCGUGGCGCCCAGCAUGUUCCCAUACUCUCUCACCACGGUUCUGCUCGCCGCCAGCUUCCCCGGAGCAAGCCGGAGUGCCCUGACGAUGUGGUCCAACAUCACACUGCUGCCGGGAUGCACGGCCCAGAAGAGGUUGUUCCAUUCGACGACACCUCCGCUGCCGGCUAG